AUACUGUGCUAAGAACUGGAGAUACAAAUACCAGGAGGCGAUUUCUGAAUGCUAGCUCUUUGAAGAAUGGAAUCCUAUAAAAGGAGCCUUUGUUAUAACAUGCUGUGACUCAAGAGGACCAGCUCCUGCAUGUAUUCCUUACUUCAGACUGCAAGAUAACAAAGAGAAUCUCAUUAUCCAGCUACCUCCCACCUUGGGCACUGGUGCCUUGCCCCUGGCUGCCCUCCUCUCCCUGAAUAGAGAGAGAAGCCAGGAUGACAGUUUUCUUCAACCAUUUCCUGAGAGUUUCUACAUUGAACUCUCUCUUGUUCCAAAGGAGAGCAGGGAGGCAAAACAGCUGCAUCUCUGUGUAUACAAUCUGCUCCUUGAUUGCCCCACUUUUCUGUGGAGAAGAGGGAAGUGUGUUUCAUCACCUAUUUUUAUAUACCAUACAUUAGAAUAAAUAAGCAAACAAAAAAAUACAAUCAUUUUGUAUGCCCUUCCCAAUCUGCCUGUGUGCUGCUUUAAAAAAAAACAAAACAACCCCAAACCCUUACCUUCCAUCUUAGAAUCAAUAUUGUGUAUUGAUUCCAAGGCAGAAGAGUGGUAAGGGCUAGGCAAUGGGGGUCAAGUGACUUGCCCAGGGUCACACCCCUUGGAAUUGUCUGAGUCCAGAUUUCAACCUAGGACCUCCCAUCUCUAGGCCUGGCUCUCAAUCCACUGACCCACCCAGCUGCUCCCUUCCUAUGUACUUGAAAAGCUCCAUAUUUAAGGCUGGCCUUCCCUCCCCCCCCCCCCAAUCAAAUCCACAGAAUAUAGUUAGCAUCCAUGUGUAUCUCAUUCUCUCUCCAUUGAUCUUACUUCGUGCCACUUCAUAAAGGUCUUUUGAUAUAUCUUUGCAUUCUUCAUAUAUGUCAUUUUUUAUAGGGUUUCAUGAGCCUGUGAAGAGCUUAAGAUUUUUGUCAACCGUGGGGAUUUUAUUGUGGAAAUUCCCUUCACCAAGGCAUAUCCUAGUUUGGCUAUUGGCCCAGUAGAUAAAUUCUGGGGAAUUGACGAGACACCAUCACACGUGAAAAUUCAUUCAACCAUUUUCCAAACACUGAACACAAAUUAUCUCUAUUUUUUUCUAUAAGAGAUACAGAUAAAUGAGGACUUUACAAAAACAAAGCAACUAAUUUAGUUCUCCCCCAUGAAACAGUGCAUGCAGUAUAUGCUUAAAACCCAGCAGCAGCUCUCUGACAAAGCUGGAUCAAGCCCUGUGGUAGCAAACCCUAUUGGAGUCUGAGAGCUCUGACUUAGUAAUAAAUAUGCAGACAGAACCA
rnacentral:lncRNA from 1 species